AAAUUUUUUUUUUUUUUUUUUUUUUUUUUUUUUUCACGAAAAAGAA
rnacentral:ribozyme from 16 species